rnacentral:rRNA from 1 species
CGAAAGCCUGACGGAGCAAGACCGCGUGAGGGAGGAAGGCUCUUGGGUUGUAAACCUCUUUUGUCAGGGAAGAACACAAUGACGGUACCUGAAGAAUCAGCAUCGGCUAACUCCGUGCCAGCAGCCGCGGUAAUACGGAGGAUGCAAGCGUUAUCCGGAAUUAUUGGGCGUAAAGCGUCCGCAGGUGGCACUUCAAGUCUGCUGUCAAAGACCGGGGCUUAACCCUGGAAAGGCAGUGGAAACUGAAGCGCUAGAGUGUGGCAGGGGUAGAGGGAAUUCCCGGUGUAGCGGUGAAAUGCGUAGAGAUCGGGAAGAACAUCGGUGGCGAAGGCGCUCUGCUGGACCAUAACUGACACUCAGGGACGAAAGCUAGGGGAGCG